rnacentral:lncRNA from 1 species
GAGGACAUCAAGGAAGAUUUGUUGUGAUUGCAAAGGAGAUAAAAAUAAUCUGCCUUUAUAAGCAGCUCUCUGCAAUAGGUACCGGAAUUUUUAAGACCAACCUAAAUUUCUCCUUUUCAGUGAAGAAAUUAUCGCUAAUUCAUAGAGUCCUAGAGUCAAAGCUACUAUUUCGCUGCUGCAGUACUUCCCUGUUCGGAAAGCUAAUUUUUAACUUUACUAAACACCUUAUUUGGAUUUACCUGUUGUAACGGGUUCCUACAAAGUACGAAUUUUCUGAAUUCUGAAGACGGCUUACAUAUAUGAUCACGUAGAGCAGUAUUAUAUAUAUGUUUGAUGCUUGUUUGUCUCUCUUGCUCUUUCCUUAUUAGCUAAAGAUGCAACUGUAUGAAAUGAAUGUUUCUUCAUUUCCCUCAAGUGUUAUUGUAUUUUAUUUGCUUAUAUAGUUUUCUGUUUUCUUUUCGCCGACUUCUGAUAUUAGAUACGGAGAUCAUUGCUCAAUGAAGAUGAAUAUGGUUUUCGGAGAGCCAAGCGACCAAUAUACCAUUAUGAUGAAGGUUUAGAGGUGAUAUUAAUACUUCUUUACAUUUUUAUGUCUUUCUUAUGUAUAUGCUUGUAGGCUUACAGUUGUGUGUCCGAGUAGCAUUUUUCUGCUAAAUUGGCUAGUAGGGUUAUAAUUUUGUUCUAAUUACUUGUAUGCAGAAAACUAGACAGACAUUGAACAAAAAGUUAGAUCAACUGAAUAGUGCCAUUGACAAAGUAUCUUCGCGGUUGAGAGGUGGAAACAAAAUGCCUCCAGUGCCUGUCGAGACUGAUCCAGAAGAAGCUACCAUGUGAGAGCUGGUUUUAUUUCCCCCUAAUGAUCAUAGGAUAAUGCAGAGGUGGAAAUACGGGGCUACUGAAAUUAUAUGGUAUAUCUUAAACGGGCCAUGAAUUCUCUAGUCUUACCAGACUUUUAUGUCUUUUUGAAUCUUUUGGAGAUGUUUAAUUGUGGAACAUUAAAGGAAGAAAACAGAAGAUAAAAUUUCCAGAGCUGAAUUUCUUGAUAAUAUUUGAUUGAAGUUGGAAAAAGAGAAAAAGGAUUUGAAAUUGAAGUUUAAAAUGGAUAUUUGGAAGUUGAAAUUCAUUAUUUUACUUGAAAUAGUUCUCAACCUCAAGUCAGUAUUCCAUUAAUUCGCUAGCAUUUCAAAUACCGAACUUCGGUAAUUGCUACUAAUGCAAAUAGCCAAACCAAUAUUUGCCAAACAUCCGAUGCCCAAAGAAUUAAAGCAAAGUUACUCCCUGGAUAUUACCCUUCAAAGCCAACGACGAGGCAUUUGGUUGUGUUAUUGAAAGUUUGAAACAAGGGAAAAUGCACGAGUAUCCCCUGAUUUAUACCUAAAUUUCUAUUAUCCCCUAAAUUUAUUUUAAAUGAAAUUAUUUGUACAUUUAACGCUGACAUGACAGAAUGUGUGCAUAUAUCUCUCUCCCAAGGAACAGUGAGAAGAAAGAAAAAAUGAUUUUCAAAUUAUUUUUAAUUCUUUUUUACCAUUUUUUCUUACCUUUUUUCCUCUUUCUUUUCCUUUUUCUUUGUCUUUUUCUUUUACUUUUUUUUGUUUCUUGUCUAGUUCUGGCGGAUAUUCAUUCACAAGUAAUUUUGUCUAACCGUUUUUCUUCUAUUUUUUUUUUCACACACAAAUUAAACUCUCAAAAAGAUUUAUUCAUAAGCAAAUCAAAAUGCGCUCAGAUUUGGAUGAAAAAAAUCAUCAACGCAAUACCUUCCCACGCUAGAAAAAAAUGAUGUAUUAAAAUUUUAAUUGAAUAUUAUAUUCGUUUUUAUUUCUUUUGAGCUUCCUCCCACACAUAAAUUAUACUUUUAAGAAAUAUAUAUAUAUAUAUANNNNNNNNNNNNNNNNNNNNNNNNNNNNNNNNNNNNNNNNNNNNNNNNNCGAUCUCAUACUCAGUACAUUGUUUGUACUGAUGCCCAAUUUCUCGGCGCCUACAUUUCAUGCCCUAGGUGCAGGUAGGCGAGCUGACGCCCCCCCUCCCCCUCCCUUCUUAGGAUCCUUGAUCAACGAGAAUUGGCGCGGUCCACUUGAUUCAGAGCUGCUUUUUAUAUUGGUACGAUGUGCUUGUGUGUGUGCCAGCGCCAAUAUAUAUAUAUAUAUAUAUAUAUAUAUUAUACACACACACACACAGAUGGGGAUAAAAAUAUAUCGGAAAAAAAUUCAUCGAAAAAAUGGUAUUUGUGAAUUUCUGACGACAACCAUUUUAUGCCGUUAGUGACCAAAACAAAAAGAAAGAGAAAGAAAUAACCAAAAAAUUUAAAAAUAAUAAGAAAUAAGAAGAAAAGAUAAGAAAAAGAAAGAAGAAUAAAAAAAGUACUAAAAAUAUAUGUGGGGCGCGUGUAGCUCAUUUCUUGCCAAAAGUUUGAUUAUCAGCAUUAAGAAUACAAAUAAUUAUAUUUAAAAUAAAUUUAAGAAAAUAAUAAUAUUCCCGCAAAAAAUAAAUAAAUAAUUAAAAAUACAGAUAUAAGUCAGGAAUACUUAUACAUUUUACGAGAAAACAAUACAGAAAGGAUCAAAAUAUUUCUGUAGUGUGGGACCAUAAUUAUAUCUGUGGACCAUUAAGUAUCACGGGAUCAACAUUAUAAUAGUCCAAUUUUUGGGGACUAUGGAAGAAGUGAUCCAUCAAGAAAUAUUUAGCCUGCUGCCUGGAACAAUACCUAAGCUUUCUCCCUGAUAUAAGACUUCAGUACAUGUUUUUCCCAAUCAUAUCGUAUCGUUAUUGAUGUGGAAAAAAUAUACUAGUCAAAAUAACCAACAUAUAUCCUCCGUUAUACUAUUUGGCCAUAUAUGUUUCUACCAUUCACAUUUCUAAUCAUAUAUGUCUCUCUGACGUUAAUUUUUUUUAAAAAAAUUAAAAAGCCACGUGUUAGAGUCCUAUUGGUCAAACUAAACCCACUCCCCUUUUUCUUUAUAUUAAAACGAAAAUAUUAGUAAAAAAUAUAAAAAAAACUUGUAAAAAAAGGGGAAAAAAUUUGUAAAAAUUGGGAUUUUUUUAUUAUUUCAGAAUUUAAAAAACGAAAAUAUUAUAUUAAUUUUUUUUUCUGUUUUUACAAAUUUGUGUUUUCACUUUUUACAAAACAAAAUUCUUUUACUAAUGCAAAAUAAAAUAUUGUUUUUAAAAAAAAAACGCAUUUUGGAAAUAUUUUCAAAAUUGAAUAUAAACUCACUUUCUUUUUUAAUACAGAAAUAAAAAUUGUUUAACAAAAUAUUUUUAUAUUUCAUUUUUGAAAAUAAACUGAUUUUUUUUUUGUAAAAACGGAAAUAAAAAUUGUUUAACAAAAUAUUUUUAUUUUGACAAAAUUAUUUAACAAAAUUGUUUCGUUUAACAAAAAAGAAGAAGAAUGUAUUCCUUAUCAUUCCGAUUCAUUUAGAUGCUCUGUUCAUAUUUUUAAUAUAUUUUAAAAAAAUAAAAAAUUAGUUUAAACUAUUUUUAUUUCUUUUAAUUAAAAAAUCAUUUUAAAUAUUUUUUUGUUUAAAUAAACAAAAAAUUAAUUUAAACAAUUUUUAUUUCUUUUUCAUUAAAAAUCAUUUUAAAUAAUUUUUUGUUUUUUAAUAUAAUUUUUUGUUUUUAAUAUAAUAUUUUCAUUUUUUCAAAUAUAAAAUAAUAAAAAAUUCCUAGUUUUUACAAAAAAAUUGAAUUUUUACAAAUUUUUUAUAUUUUUUACAAAUAUUUUCGUUUUAAUAUUUUCGUUUUAAUGCUACAAAGAGGUGGACGAUGCAGCAUUAAAAAACUCUAUAUUUUUGCAAAUCCCUCAAUACUCAAAAGUACACUGGAAAAGCAUUAUACUGCAGACAAAACUCCACCCACGAUUCAAAUUUAUUGUCUGGCUAGCUUUGCAUAGAAGACUAGCAACAGUGGAGAGGCUGAUGACUUUUGGGAUACAGAUCCCACAACAAUGUGUACUGUGCAGGCAAGUAGAUGAAUCCUUUGACCGUCUCUUUUUUACUUGCCCGAUAGCUUGGGAGCUAUGGAAUAGAAUGCUAGUCUGGCUGGGCUACCAGAGGGCCAUAAAUGAUUGGAACAGUGAAGUAAGAUGGAUCAACAACAUUGCUAAAAGGAGAAAUGGAUGUGCUGAAAUUACUACCAGUGUUUUUGGGAUGCUAGUAUACUGUCUAUGGCGAGUGAGAAACAAGAUUAGAUUCCAAGGCGGAAGAAUGGAUAUAAAUGCUACAUGCAAAGAAAUAGCAGUCUACAUACAUAUACAAGGAAACUCUUUUACACACUGGAAGGAUGAAUUGCGAAGACUGGAUCGCUACCCUUAGAUAUUGUUGUAUAUAUGAAUUACGGGAGUCCCCUAUAGACUGAGUGAGAAACAGUAGUUGGUCAACAGCUACUCUAUUUGUAAACUGUUUAUGUUAUUAAAUGAAAUGAAGUUUAUAAAAAAAAAAGGGGGUGAGUUUAGUUUAACCAAUAGGACUCUGACACGUGGCUUUUUAAUUUUUUUUUUAAAAUUAACAUCAGAGGGACGUAUAUGACCAGAGAUGUGAACGGUAAGGACAUAUAUGGCCAAAUAGUAUAGCGAAGGACAAAUGUAGCUUAUUUUGACUAGUAAAAGAACAUAUAUGACCCUUUUCCGAAAAAUAUAUCGUCAAGUCGUCAUUAAAGGUACUACAAAUAAAACAAUAACUACGCUUUAAUUCCAAUUAGGCUCGAUUAGAAAUCCUUAUUUCUUUCAUUUAAUUCACUCAUAACAUCAUCAUUAAAGAUACAGCUGUUACAUUAUAAAAGUAAUGAUAAAAUCACUUUUUAAAUUUUUUUUGGUAAGUUCAUAUCAUCAUCACUAAAGAUAUUACAUCAUAGGAGUAAUGAUAAAAUCACAUUUAUAAAAAAGUUUAGCAAUUUUUUUUGGAAAACUUCCGGUGCGUAUUGAGUAGCCUGUUCAUUGUGCUACUGCUAGAAAAAAAAUUGAAAGAUUAUGGAGAAUAAAUAGUUUAGCUUGAGGGGUGUCAAAGAUAUUGUUCUUACGAAUAUUUCGCCUACAUCGAAAUGAAUACUAUUAGGCGUAUUCCUCAAGAUUCAAUAAGCUCUUAUAGUAUAACUAGGGGCAGAAAUAACAAAGAUUUAUGAAAAGAAAACUCAGCACCAAAGAAAAUAAAAGAAAAGUUUUAACUUUUUUCUUUUCACUACUAUCAUGAACAUAAACAAGUAGCUUUAUUUAUCGUCCAAGAAGAUGAACAUCCGAGUAAAAAAAUGGUAAAAUUCUUUUAGAAUUCAAUGCUAGGAAAUCAAUAAGAAAAUGCUAAGAAUUCAUGAAGAAUUCAAUACCAAUGAAUGAGAAUUUAAAAUUCAUUAAAAAUUCAAUUCCAAAACCGAAGCAGUUAUAACCAUUCCUUCUAAAAGUUAUUCAGGAAAUGAUUAUCAUAUUAAAUACUAGCUAAUGAACAAAUACUAACUUUGGUCAAUUUCAAACUUACAAAAAUAUAGUUAUUGAUUUUAAUACUCAUUCAAUGUUAAUAAACACUAUAUUCAGAAUUAUUCUACUUUAUUUUCAAUUUGAAUAUUCUUUUUGAGAUAUCAAAAAAAUUAUUUUUUUAACAAUAUCCCACCUAACUCAAAAAAGAAUAUUACAAUUGUAGACAAUAAAUUGCGUCGAGAAAAUAAAAUCAAGACUGAAAAAUAUUGCAACAGUCGUAGCGUUUUUAUUUCGAAAUAUUUGGGUGUUCAAUCUCUAUGAAUCCUGUGAUUCUUCUUUUCAACAGUAAAUAAAUUCAAGGGCCUUUGAGCUUGAUCUUGAAUAUGUAGUUGUUUUCACGAACGAUGAUCUUGUUCUUGAGCCUUAGCUUGAUUGCUUGAACUUGACCUUGAUUCGUUCUUCGUUCUUGAGCUUAAAAUUAACUAAUUGAACUGGAACGAUGAUCUUAUUCUUGAGUUUUAGCUUGAUUGCUUGAGCUUGAUUGCUUGAGCUUGACCUUGAUUCGUUCUUUGUUCUUGAGCUUAAACUUGAUUUCUUGAACUUAAACUUGAUUGCUUGAAGCUUGAAGCUUGAAACUUGUAUAUUGGACUUAUAUAAUUAAUUCAUUUAUAUAUUAGCCCAUAAUAUUUAUUUGGACCAAUAUAUCUUGAAUUUAAAAUAUAGACCAAAUUAUUUAUUAAAUUUAAAUUUAAUAAAUUUUACAUGCCUACAAAUACCCUAUACUUCAAGACUUGUUAUAGUAUAUAUUUUGUUUAUCAAAGACAAGGCUAGAAGUAUCAACUAUCAACUUAUAUAAAUAUUAGCUUUGAAUUUGUAUGCUUCCCGCGUAAGACAAAUGUCACUACUUUUUGAAUUCAUAAAUUGUCAUAUUUGUCAUGACAUGGACAAUCACUUAUCACAUUAAUUUGUCCACUUAUUUUGCCCAAUCAUGUUCUUUACCGGGGAAUAUUUUCUCUCUUUUUAUGCAGAUCCUUGGACAUCCAAGUCAAAUGCAUUUGGGUAAUUAACUGAUUUGACUUCAAAUGGAUAUCUAGUGCAAUUCCCUGUAGAUAUAGGGAAGGAAUUCUUUUGCCGCCUAUACCCAUGAUCCCACACCGGAAUAUGCUCUGCGCAGGCGCCUUCUAGGAAUCUAUAUAUACUACAUGCUCUUCAAUUGUGAGUAUCAAUUCGCAGUUUGUGCAAGCUAUUUCAGUCUAGUUUUGUGGACUCGAAAGCGUUAAUGUGAAGGUAAUUUUUCUUCUUUUCUUGUGCCUUUCUUCCUUUAUUGGUUUUUUUCCUUAUUUAUUUUGUAGGUCAAACAUGAAGGAUGUGUUUUUAUUUAAUGAUAUAAUCCAUAAUGAAGAAGAUAAUCUUGGGGUGUGAGGGAAUGAGUACUCAUCCUUGCCCGACUAUCGGAGAGAUUACUUUCAUGGCCUGAUUCUUGAAAAGAUUACUCUCAAUGUGGCCCGAUUCUUGGAGAGAUUACUCUAUGUGGCUCAAUUUUUGGAGAGAUUACUCUCAACGUGGCUCAAUUCUUGGAAAGAUUACUCUCAAAAUGGCCCGACUACCGGAGAGAUUACUCUCAAUGUGGCCCAGUUCUUAGAAAGAUUACUCUCAAAAUGGCCCAACCACCGGAGAGAUUACUCUCAAUGUGGCCCAUUCUUGAAGAGAUUACUCUCAAAAUGGCCCGAUUACCGGAGAGACUACUCUCAAAAUGGUCCGACUACCGGAGGGAUUACUCUCAAUGUGACUCGACUAUCGGAGAGAUUACUCUCAAAAUGGACCGACUAUCGGAGAAAUUACUCUCGAUGUGGCUCGACUACCGGAGAGAUUACUCUCAAAAUGGCCUGACUAUCAGAAAGAUUACUCUCAGUGUGGCCCGAUUAUCGGAGAAAUGACUCUCAAAAUGGCUCAACUAUCAGUGAGGCCAACUUAAGGUGCAAAGAGACUCAUAUGUUCCACCUUAAGAUUGGAAAGUUAUAGUUCCUUUUAAGGACAAAUCCACGAAGAGGCCAACUUAAGGUGCAAAGGGACUUAUAUGUCCACCUUAAGAUUGGAAAGUUAUAGUUCCUUUUAAGGACAAACCUACGAAGAGGCCAACUUAAGGUGCAAAGGGAGUUAUAUGUCCACCUUAAGAUAUGACAAUUAUAAAGCUUCAACUCGAAGACGACAUCAACUUGAACACUUGGAAAACUUUGAAGAUUUUACGGACUUUGCAAACUUCAACUCGAAGACUCGGAGGGCUUAAACAAUUCAACUUUAAGACCGACGAAUUUGAAGACUGAAACUUGAAGACCGACAAACUUGAAGACUUCAACUUUGAGACUUGGAUGGCCUAAAUAUUUCAACUUGAAGAUCGGCAUAUUUGAAGACUUCAACUUUGAGAAUCGGAUGGCCUAAAUAUUUCAACUUGAAGAUCGGCAAAUUUGAAGACUUCAACUUGAAGACCGACAGACUUGAAGACUUCAACUUUGAGACUUGGAGGGCCUAAAUAUUUCAACUUGAAGAUCGGCGAAUUGAAGACUUCAACUUGACCGACGGAGUUGAAGAUUUCAACUUGGGGACUUCAACUUGAGUACCGACGGACUUGAAGAUAUCAAUUUACCAUGGAGGGUUACCUUUUUAAAUCAAAUGAGCAAAUUUAAAGACUUCAACUUGAAGACCAAUGGGUUGAAGAUUUCAACUUUGAGACUUGGAGGGCCUAAAUAUUUCAACUUGAAGAUCGCAAAUUUGAAGAAUUCAACUUGAAGACCGACGGUGUUGAAGAUUUCAACUUGAAUACACUUGGAGACUUUGAGGGCUUAAAUAUUUCAGCCUUUCUUUUGCUUUACAUUGUUUAACUUUUAUCUUAGUCGCAUAAUUUUCAGCUUUACGUUCUUGUAACAAAUGAUUCAUAUCUUGUCGUGGAAGAGUUCAAAUAAUGAAACGCUUGAUGACUUAAAUAUAUAAACUAUAUCCAAUACUAAGAAUCAAAAACCUUCAGAAUCACCCGGAUAAUAUUUUGAAAUCAACUUUAGAUUUCACCAUGUUAAAAAAUUUAGAUUUGCGCAGUCUUACAAAAAAAUUCAUAUCUCGGUGUAGAAAUAUCAAAAUUGCAAACUGUUUGAUUUCAAGAAAACUAGACUUCAAGAUCUAGAACAUAUAAAAAAUUCUUAAUCAAACAACUUCAGAAUCGUCCCAGAUAAUAUUUUGAAAUCAACUUUAUAUUGCAUCAGGCUAUUAAUUUCAGAUUUGCCCAGUCUCACAAAAAAUUUCAUAUCUCGUUGUAGAAAUAUCGAAAUUGCAACCCGUUUGAUUUCAAGAAAACUAGACUUCAAGACCUAGAACAUAUACAAAAUUCUCAAUCAAAUAACUUCUGAAUCGUCCUAGAUAAUAUUUCUAAAUCAAUUUUACAUUGCACCACACUAUCAAUUACAGAUUUCAGUCUAGCCAAAAGAUUCAUAUCUUGGUGUAGGAACGUCGAAAUUAGGAACCGUUUGAUUUAUUGAAAACUAGACUUCAAGAUCUAGAAUAUAUCCAAAAUUUUCAAUCAAACAACUUCGGAAUCGUACUAGAUAAUAUUUUGAAAUCAACUUUACAUUGCAUCACGCCAUCAAUUCUAGAUUUGCGUAAUCUUACAAAAAUUCAAAUCCUGGUAUGCAAGCCUCAAGACCGGAAGAUGUCUUACUUGCCAUCAAUCGAAAUUUAAUAGCCAUAUGCUCACAAAUAUCUUAAGUUCAAGUCUCACUGAAUUUGAAAUGUUGUGCCAAGCAAUGGUUUCCUUAUACUUGUGUUUCCUUUUGAUGUCUCUCUUCUCUUCCCCUUUUUUAAGGCAGAGGGUGGACUUGAAGACCAACAAACUUGAAGGUUUGGAGAACCUGAAGAUAUAUAGAAUCCUUGGACAUCAAUGCAAAUACUUGACAUCCUUCUAAAAUCGUCCCAUCGAAGAUAUCAAUUUACCAUGGAGGGUUGGCCUUUUUAAAUCAAAUGAGGUCAAAGUUCAUUAGGAGGAUGGCAUUUGAGCUUGAUCUCACAUUCCUUCGUCCUUCAUUCGAACAACAAUUGGGGAAAUAUGUAUCUUCUGAACUUAUGCGACUGAACUUAGAAUGAAACUGUAAGCUUCCUACAUACCCCGGUGAAGAGGAUCAAGUCAUACCGUAGUUCAGACUGGGUGAUUUUUUUUAUGUCCUAACUUUUUCCUAGGCCGCCUCUUUCGAAGUUUUCAACCUAGCAGACUCUUCUUCUUUUUUUUACGUCGUAACUUUUUCCCAGGCCACCUCUUUCGAGAUUUUCUACCUAGAAUUUUUUUUCUUUUUCUUUGGGGGGAGGGCGGACACAGUUUAGACUCAUGCGGCCAGGAGUGUAGAAACAUGCAAUUUAGGUCGUGCAUCAAGGAAUGUCAUAAAUUGCAGUUUAGGCUCGUACGUCGAGGAGCAUUAUGAGUUGAAACUUCAUGGAUAAUACUUCUUCAAAAAGUUGCCGCUGAUAGGGCCGAUUCUUAUACCAUCUGCAUCAAACAGCUUGUAAGCCCCACUUGAAUAAGCUUCUUGUACGAGAUAUGGACCAUCCCAUUUUGAAGUGAACUUCCAUCAGGUUUUAUGGAAAGUAAUUAUGGGUCUUCGUACGGCAAAGACUUGAUCUCCUACUUGAAAGGAUCUCGGACGAACUCUUUUAUUGAAGGCACGGGACAAUCGAGCCUGAUAAUAUUCAAGACUCUUUUGAGCUUCCAAUCUCCUUUCAUCAAGAGCUUCCAACUCUGCUAAUCGAAGUCGAGCAUUUUCUUCAUCAGUGAUCCUUUCUUGAAUAGUCAGUCGUAACGAUAGUAUUUGACGCUCAAGUGGCAAGACAACUUCGACUCCAUAAAUGAGUGAAUAAGGAGUCGCAUGUGUUGGAGACGAAUUUCUUUAACAAGUUGUAUAGAGUCUUGUUGAAUGCCUCAUCUAGACCAUUGGUGGCAUCAUUGUACAUCGAAGAGUUACACUGCUUGAAGCCAAAAAGAUCACAAAUCUUGUUCAUCAGCCUAUUGUCGAAUGGCUUUCCAUUAUCCGUUUUUAUGUAACGAGGAAUGCCAAAUCGAUAAAUAAUGUUUACUCGGAUGAAACUUGCGACAUUUUGCUUCUUUACUUCUUUAAGAGCAACAACUUCAGCCCAUUUUGAGAAGUAGUCAGUUGCAGCCAAUAUGUAUAGGUGCCCACUAGAGGACUUUGGUAGUGGUCCAACAACAUCCAAUCCCUAAGCGUCAAAUAGCCAUGAUGCAACAGUCGCGUGCAACACUUUAGGAGGUUGAUGAAUAAAAUUCACAUGGAAUUUACAAGCCUUGCAUCUUCGGGGGUAGUCCAAGCAAUCUUUUACCAUAGUUGGCCAAUAAUAUCCCAUCCUUUUUAUAUGGAAGUUGAGCUUUGGUCCAGACUGGUGUGACCAAUAUACCCCAGAAUGUGCCUCUUUCAAAGCUUGGAGAGCUUCUUCUUCUCCUAGGCAUCGCAAAAGUACUCCUUCGAACGACCUUCUGUAUAGAGUAUCCUUGUAGUAAAGGAAGCGAGGUGCACGACGACGGAUUUCAGUCCUUCUCCUCAGAUUUUCUGGAAGUAUCCCAUAGCAUAAGUAGUCAAUAAUAGGUUGUCGCUGUCACACAUUCUUUUUCACUACACCCUGGUAAAUGGCGUAGGUAAGGGAGUUUUUCCAAUUAAAGGACAAUCAAAAUGAGAUUUAGUUAUUUAAUAAUUUCAGGUCGCCACUUGAGAUAAUUAAUGGUGUCCCAAGCCACCGGUUUAAAUCCUAAAUGAGGAAGUUUUGACUCUGUAUACAGUCUACGAGCCAGAAAUCCAGAUAAGGAAUUCUGUUAAUCCGGGAGAAGGUAUUAGGCACUCCCGAGUUCCGUGGUUCUAGCACGAUCGCUCAACUGUUAUACUUGGCUUAAUUAUUUGAUUUUAAUACAUUAUUGUACUUAUGUGCAAAUUUUAACUUUAUAGCCGCCUUUAUUUUUAUUUUAAGAAGAUUUCAACAUUGUUAAAUGUGUCUCGAACCACGUCACAUAAAUGCACCCGUAGUUUUCGACAUAUUCCAACAUCGUUUAGAUUUGGAUUUGGGUCACAUAAAUGCGCACCCGAAUUUAGGAAAGUAGAUUAUUUAACUAGCACGCCUAAAGAAAUUUCGUAUGUUUAAAUUUGCGAGGGCCACUAAAAUUCGCUAAGUAGUGCACCUCUGAUUCUUAAGGGUUUGAAUUCGAUUAAACAACGCCAUUAUUCAAAUCGAUUCGGCAUUGGAACACUUUGAGUCUAAACUAAACGGGUUAAUCUGACUAUCAAAAGAGACAAGGCUGAUUGAAGAGAUGCUUCAAGGCAUAAAAAAACCACACAUAAACCAUCCUUAAUACUAACUUAUUAUUCAAUUACGUACCAACAUUAGAGUUUUUGAUUAGCGCCUACUCUUGAUUUUAAUCAACUAGCAUAAAUUGCUCAAUUAACUUUGUCUCCAUCUUGGCACCUAAUGGACAAGCCUGUAAAAGACUAAAGAACUACUGGGCCUGAGAAACAUGCCUUAGGCGACAAUGACGACCCAAUUUCUUUGAAAGGCACUCAUACUCUACAACUUUAAGAUCAGAACACUUAGAUAAUAGAAUUGAGGAUCUCCAACCUCAACAUUGAACCUAAACUAGUGCAAAAUAACCAUAAUUAACAUAUGAGAACCAUAAUUGCUCAAAACACUUAGAGUAUUAAUAACAACUCAUGUCCAGAGUUAACCCGUGAAGAAAAGAAGACCAACCAAGCGGAGAUAGCUUUGUUACUAUCCAAUGUCAUUUAAAUUACAGAACCAUUGUCAUUUAAGCUAUAGAAAAGAAAGCAAAGUCUAACAUAAUGUCCAUGUUCAUGGUCGUUUUAACAGGACCAUAUCCAAAACCUCAAUUGAGCAAAUACCAUUUGAGAAGAGCUAGGAACAAAUAUAGAUACAAAAAUAACUAUAAACUAAGGGUUUAACAAUUAGACAUCAGAAAUUCCCCUUUUAUUCUUCAAUCUCCAUUUUUGAGCAUAUCACACUGUGUAGAGUUCAAGAGAGGAGUACCUGGAUUACAGCAGUAAACAAGGAAGCUAUGAGCUUAGGUAACAACAAUAGCAGUAAAUCAACAACAUAAUUCAACAGAAGCAGUUAUAAUGUUCAGCAAGCAAAAUUGCCCAGAAAUGACUGAGGAAGAUCAACUUAAAACCCAAAGUUGAACCAGCAAUAUAUCAGUAAAACCAAAAUGGAAACAUUGGAAGGCAGCCUCACUCGACCAACAACCAUAUCAAUUUCAAACUCGAACCUCAAACAUCCAACCUCGAUCCAUUUUAAAACUAAAUCAAUUGGAAAAUGCUUUCAGGAAUUGACCACCUGAGAAAUCACAGAAUGAGUUCCCCAUGAAACAGUAAUUUUACUCCAAUUUUCAGCUGUCUUUUAUUAUUAUUUUUUAGGAUUGUUUAUCCUUUUAAGUUUGCCUUCUAAGUCAAGAAGAGCUUCCUUUAUAGGCAAGCAAACUAGGGUACCCUUAUAUUUUAGUUUUCAUUUUAGUCCUUUAGUUUUUGACUUGUGGAUCAAGUUAAGCCUAAAACUUACUGUCGGACCCCCUACUAGAAACUUCUAAGGAUGUUACCAAAAUAUUCCCUAGGUGUAUUGUCCAGUUUACCCCUUAGUAGCCUUGUUAUUUACCCACAAAAAGUUCAGCCCAAGAUUGUAAUGCAAAUCUAAAUGACCCUAAUUUCAUACUUGGAUUAUUUCUUAAUUACUUAAAAUUGGAAGCUACUAUUAUGGAUUAUCAGUCAAAUAGGAGAAGAAAAUAAACAAAACUAAUUAAGCCAAAUGAAAUAUGCUACAAUAAGUAAUUUCAAACCUAAAACCUAAGAAGAUAAGCAGGCAAGAAGUCUAGGUACAACUGAUUGAACAUGAAGGAUAACUGGAUUCAAACUAGUCGCAAUAAAUGAAGAUUCAAAUAUAAAGUGGAAUUCAUAUCAACAACAAAGCUCUACAACUUGACUAAAAUCAUGAAAUUCAAUUCCAAACAAAGAACACCGAAAAUUAAUUAAACUCGUGAACCUUCGACCCAACAGAAUUUGACAUGAAAGCCCAACUAAAAAAAUGACUAAUACCAUUUUAAUUAAACCAAACUAAAACCUAACCUAAACCUUGAAAUUAAGCACUAACAACCAAAUAUACAGAAAUGAAAUGAAGAAGAAGGAAAUUAAAAGUAAACAGAUAACUCAGCUUAAUUUUUUUUGAAUUGAACCCAAGGCUAGGUUUUCUUCCUUCUCAAACCCUUGUUUUGAAAUUGCUGAGAUGAAGGGAACGAAAAUAUGUUUGGUGAUAUUUUGGGAAAGUUUUGGGUGAAUUAGGGUUCUAGCUCGAAUUUCGAUCUAAAAUUCAAGGCAUUUGGGAGGGAUUCGAAGGUUGUCAGUUGUGGAUUCAGAAAGAGGAGGGUGAGGAGGCCAUGGGGUGUAAAAAUGGUGGUGAUUGGGGGUGGCGCCGCCUUACACGACGGCUGAGUUAGUGAUUCAAACCAAUAUUUGAAGCAUUUUGCUAAGGUUCGAGGGCAAGUGGUUAUGGAUUUGGAUAGAGGAGGGGAAGGCCGUCAAGUGGUGUUAAUUUGGUGUGACAUGGAGUUCUGCCGCCGCCGGAGGCGAUUUCUAGCUGACGGCGCACGGCGGAGGACGGUGGCGUUAUGUUCUCUGAUGAACAGGUGAGAGGUUAGAGAUGGGGGUGGGUUUG